GGAAAAAGAAGAUGGGGGCAGAUAGAACGCAUAUGAACACACACAGACCACACACUACACACACACGCAAACAUCACACACCCGUCACAUACACACCACAUGCCACACAUACACAUACACACCUACCACACAUCACAUACACACCACAUGCCACACACAUCUACCACACACAAUCACAUACACACAUGCCACACACAUACACACCUACCACACACAUCACAUACACACACACACCACACACAUACACACCUACCACGCAUUCACAUACACAUGGCACACAUACACACCUACCACACACAUCACAUACACACACACUACACACACACCUACCACACACAUUCACAUACACACCAUACACCACACACACCUACCACACACAUCACAUACACACACACUACAUGCCACACACACACCUACCACACACACAUCACAUACACACACUACACGCCACGCACACAUACACACCCACCACACACACAUCACAUACAUGGCACAUGCCACACACACACACCUACCACACACACACACCUACCCCACACACAUCACAUACGCUACAUACAACAGCACAUACAUACAUCACACACAUACCACACGCACACACACACCCCACACGCCCCACACACACCUACCACACACAUCACACGAAUACACCACACUCCACACACACCACACACAAUCGCAUACACACUACAUGCCACACACACAUACACACCUACUAAUCACAUACACACACUAUAUGCCACACACACACACC
rnacentral:lncRNA from 1 species